rnacentral:rRNA from 1 species
CACGUAGGGGGCAAGCGUUGUCCGGAUUUAUUGGGCGUAAAGAGCUCGUAGGUGGUUCGGUAAGUCGGGUGUUAAACCCCCAGGCUCAACCUGGGGACGCCACUCGAUACUGCUGUGACUAGAGUCCGGUAGGGGAGCGUGGAAUUCCUGGUGUAGCGGUGAAAUGCGCAGAUAUCAGGAGGAACACCAGUGGCGAAGGCGGCCGCCUGGACCUGACCUGACGCUGAGGCGCGAAGGCGCGGGGAGCGAACGGG